rnacentral:rRNA from 1 species
UACAGAGGUCCCAAGCGUUGUUCGGAUUCACUGGGCGUAAAGGGUGCGUAGGUGGUGAGGUAAGUCGGAUGUGAAAUCUCCGAGCUCAACUCGGAAACUGUAUUGGAAACUACCUUGCUCGAGGGUUGGAGGGGGGACUGGAAUGCUUGGUGUAGCAGUGAAAUGCGUAGAUAUCAAGUGGAACACCAGUGGCGAAGGCGAGUCUCUGGACAUUUCCUGACGCUGAGGCACGAAAGCCAGGGGAGCAAACGGG